rnacentral:lncRNA from 1 species
GCAUGCUCCCGGUCGUGCCCCAGCCCCGCCCAGCACCGCUGGGCGCCUGAGGCCCCUGAGAUUCCGAAAUUUUUAACCUCUGAAGCUGUGCCUUCACAUGAUCUAGGACAGCGUUCAGAAGAUGGCUACAGUCUGUUGGUUUGUAUUCUGUGAAAAUAGAAAAAAAAAUCCGGAAAUGACCAUAACCGUGGGGAAAUGAUGUAACUGCUAAGAAUUGAAUGUGAUGGCCCAGCUUGAGUGAUCUUCUGCUCAGACCACACCCUGGACUGAACCAGCCUCCUGUUUCCCUCAGGCCUCCUGAGGUCCCUGAUCUCCGGCAAGUGAUGCUCCUUCUCACCAUCGUCUGUGCCAUUGCCUUGAAAACUCCCUUCCUGGCCUCGCCUACUACAUGAGCCAGGGACAACCAGCUGUCCUUUUAUUCUUUUCUUUUUUUUUUUU